CGGGUUUUGUUUUCCUUCAUACC
rnacentral:miRNA from 14 species